rnacentral:lncRNA from 1 species
ACUUUAUUUUAUAUAGCGCCUUUAAAGGUGGCUUCUCAAAGCGCUUUACAGGAUGACAAUAACAAUAAAUAAGAAGACUACAACAAUAAAUAAGAAGAUUUCACAAGAUAGGAGACAAUUAUAAUUCGGCAGACAGAAUCUGUCUGUCUCUCCCUCUGUUCACUAGAGAGCGAGUGGAGGACCUCAGUGUGUUCUGUCCAGAGCAGCACAGCCAGCUGUGUCCCCCAGUACAGAGACAGAGUGUCAGUGCGGGAUGGCUCUCUGAUACUGCGCUCCCUCACUCCAGCUGAUCAGGGCAACUACACAGUGAGGGACCUUCAACAUCAUCAGCACUGUGACCCUCACUGUGGGAGAUGAAGAACUUGGCAAGAUGAAACAACAGGACCAGCGUAUAUCACGCAGAAGGAGAGCUGUCGGUGACAAGUGUUCCCCUGUAAACGACCCUCCUCAUCACUGGUCUCCUGUCGGAGUGAUCACUGGUGUCACUGGUGCUGCUGGAGUCAUCCUGGUGAUCCUGGGAGUGCGGGUCUGGUUGAGGAGAUCAAGGACGAUGAUCAAGAAUGACUAUGAGCUGACAAGGAGAGAUGAUGCCCAGAAUGACAGCAGCUCAGCGAUCAGUCCUCUAGCAGAUCAACAUGUGGAACCUGGGAGUCAGAAUGGAGUCAGUCCUCAGGUCCCUGGUGUCCAGGUGACUGUGGAGAAAGAAUACGGACACAAUGGACACAGACUGCAGGGGUGAUGGAGAGAGUCAGUGCAGUAUGUUGGGGGUCACUGGGGAGCUGAGGGAAGGUACAGACAGAUGGAUUGGGGACUCUGUCCACUGCAGGGUCUGCACUGGGUUCAGAGGUCAUGGUGAGAGGAGUCUCAUUGCUGUGAGCUGUUAGUGACUCUCUCCUGUAGUGUUCUUACAGACUGACAUCAGCCUACAAAUCCCUUAUUUUUUCAGCCAAAUAUAUAAGCUGCUUUUUUUCUUACUUUUUUUGCACUGUCAAACUUUAUCCUGUUGUGAUGGAAUCCAAAAAUAAUUAAAUUUUAGAUUAUGUAUUAUCCUGAAAGAGAAGCAGUGAUUGUAUUGUGGUCUUCAUGACUAGGAAGUUGUAGAUUAAGUGAAUCAGGCUCUAAUCUGUGAAGUUUUGGAAGGACUGGAUCUUCAGGACAGGAUGAAGUCUUCUGGUGACAAGUGUUUUUUUUAUCACAUUUUGAUUUUACUAUUGGGUACACUGUAGAUCUGGGUUGUGAUGGUGGUCAUAUUAAUGGUCAUGUUGCAUUUUAGUACAAGUGUAGCCUUUUAACUUAAUAGAACAAUAAGGCUGUGUUGGGAACUGACAAUAGCAGUCUUCCAAGACCUUGUCUAGAGGCUCUAGAAAGCUCAGGCUGGCCCUGCAAGUAAUUACAUUUUUCAAAAGGGAGAACGGUUUACAAAACUCUAAACAUGGUGAAACUGAUCACUAUCUCGACAGCAUUAAAAAAGACACCGGUUUUCAUCAGACUAGCAGGUCUGUCAACGAUUUGUUACAUUGUGAUUACGGAGAUAUAUUGCAUUCUGUCAUAUGUGUCUCUUUUUGUGUUUUUGGUGUUUAAAUAAAAAC